UUAUUGCACUUCUUGAUGUUUGCAGGGCUUGUAGUCCCAGAUGUUCCAUUAGAAGAGACUGAUAAUUUAAGAAAGGAAGCUCUGAAAAAGAAUAUUGUACUGGUAUUGCUAACCACACCCACUACUCCUAAUGAUCGAAUGAAAGCCAUUGUUCAAGCUGCUGAAGGAUUUGUCUAUCUGGAUUAAUUGUUGAUUGCAAUUUGAGC